UACGGAGGGGACUAGCGUUGUUCGGAAUUACUGGGCGUAAAGCGCACGUAGGCGGAUUUGUAAGUCAGGGGUGAAAUCCCGAGGCUCAACCCCGGAACUGCCUUCGAUACUGGGUAUCUUGAGUUCGGAAGAGGUGAGUGGAAUUGCGAAGUGUAGAGGUGAAAUUCGUAGAUAUUCGCGAGGAACACCAGUGGCGAAGGCGGCUCACUGGUCCGAUACUGACGCUGAGGUGCGAAAGCGUGGGGAGCAAACAGG
rnacentral:rRNA from 1 species